rnacentral:rRNA from 1 species
AGAACGAACGCUGGCGGCAUGCCUAACACAUGCAAGUCGAACGAGACCUUCGGGUCUAGUGGCGCACGGGUGCGUAACGCGUGGGAAUCUGCCCAAAGGUUCGGAAUAACUCAGGGAAACUUGAGCUAAUACCGGAUGAUGUCGCAAGACCAAAGAUUUAUUGCCUUUGGAUGAGCCCGCGUAGGAUUAGCUUGUUGGUGAGGUAAAGGCUCACCAAGGCUACGAUCCUUAGCUGGUCUGAGAGGAUGAUCAGCCACACUGGGACUGAGACACGGCCCAGACUCCUACGGGAGGCAGCAGUGGGGAAUAUUGGACAAUGGGCGAAAGCCUGAUCCAGCAAUGCCGCGUGAGUGAUGAAGGCCCUAGGGUUGUAAAGCUCGUUUACCCGGGAAGAUAAUGACUGUACCGGGAGAAUAAGCCCCGGCUAACUCCGCGCCAGCAGCCGC